ACCCACCCUCGGAUGAAGAUCUAAAAAGCUAUGUUUUAAAAGCACAAUAUUUCAGUUUAUUUUAAUAGAAGAAAUAUUUAUUGUUAAACAAGUUCUAAUUUUCAGUUCCGUCUGGACGUGGGCCAUCUUUUUUACCAUCUUUAUUGUUUUUUUAACAUUUUGUCUUUUGUUAUGUGUUAUUAGCUAUGGUUAUUAGUCAUGUUCGACUUCAUGCUGCGCUGCGAGAACCGACAUCAUACGUUGAUGACGUCAAUGUAUCGCGAGAGCGAGUCAAGAAUUACACUCUCGCGGUACAUUGACGUUAUCAACCUGUCAGCGCAGCAAGAAGUCGAACACACGUAUUUGCGGGCGCGCGCCUCCGUCCUCGUGAGUUCAAAGUGGAUUUUAACCGUUUACCUCAGACGACAGUUUUCAUUUCUAUGGCAAAUUCUAAGGUCAUUUUCUUGUUGUGUUUUGAUGUUUUCCAUUGGCUGAAGAGCAGAUUACCAUGCAAUUUGAAGAAGUGUGAUAAAAUACACAGAGGUGAAGUCAUGUGUCUUUCCAGAUGCCCAAUCUGUACCACUCAAAAAGUAAUGAAGUGACACUGUACCAUGACAAAAAAUAUGAGCCUGAAGAGGAGAUUUGGGAAGAUGCUGUUUAUAAGUCUUUGCUUUGCCAGAUCACCUGUGGUCGAGAUGUCUGCUAACAAGAUGCCUUGUUGGUCUGGGCGAGUUUGAAGUCUCUCACAGACAGUCCAGAAGGUCUGGAGUCCAUCUUAGCUUUUAUUGAACCCAUCAGCAACCAUCAAGAGAAAUUGGAGGCAGCUGAGCUAAAUUGCAGAUAUUGAUGCAAAUGAUCUGUAUAAUAUGCUUUCAUCGGGUUUUAAGUACAGUAUGAGCCAGAAUGGAAGGGUGUUGGUGGCCAUAAGAAGACUGUGAGCUAAACCUACAACAAAAUUCAUAUUUGCAGUUUUCCUAUAUAUUUUUUUCUAUUCAGAUGAAUAAAAUGACUUUUAAAUAUUA